rfam:Aedes albopictus isolate Foshan contig63336, whole genome shotgun sequence.
UGUCCUGUGGCGAAGUUGGUUAACACACCCUGUCUGGCGAAUUAGGGAGAUGUGGGUUCAAAUCCCACCAGAACUA